AUGGUUGCAUCAAGGAUGGUGGUGGUGACGGCACCUGUGCAGUGUCUAAGAGCUGGGACCUUUGAGAUGGACUAGGCAUUGAACCCUUUGGCAAGAAGCUUUCCAGCCCAAAGCCCCUGGAACACUUGCUGCUGCCCAUACGUUGACGGUUGUCUUUGCUCAAGUUUUGAAGGAAAAGGUGAAAUGGAACAAGCGUACCCAGUUCAACAAACAUCUUGCCAAAAACCAGAAAUACUUAAGACAAUUAAAAACCAAAUACUUCCCUAUAAAGAAGAACUCUGUUGUUAUCAGAGUAAUAUUAUGCAAUUAACUGGGGACUGAACUGGGACCAAAGGGUUUUCUUUACACUAAGAAAGAGUUUGGGAACUUCCUAAACUGACAACUUUUGGUUUGUUGAGCAGGCAAAAUGGAGACAAAAUAAUUUCUAGUCACGUGGCUAAAGACUUCAGCUAUAGUGCCCUACCUACUCUGAAGAAUAAAUCCCUCUCCAGAGUCC